UUUUCCGGUUGAUCCCGCCGGACCCCACUGCUAUCGGGGUGGGACUAAGGCAUGCAAGUUGUGUGUCUUUAUGCUAUGGAAAAGACACGGCAUACAGCUCAGUAACACGUAGUUAACCUGCCCUAAGGACGGACAUAAUCCCGGGAAACUGGGGCUAAUAUCCGAUAGGUGAAGUAACCUGGAAUGGUUUUUCACUUAAAAGAUGGAAAAGCCAUGCUUUUUCUAUUGCCUUAGGAUGGGACUGCGACUGAUCAGGUAGUUGGCGAGGUAACGGCUCACCAAGCCUAUAACCAGUACGGGCCGUGAGAGCGGAAGCCCGGAGAUGGGUACUGAGACAAUGACCCAGGCCUUACGGGGCGCAGCAGCCGCGAAAACUCCGCAAUGCGCGAAAGCGUGACGGGGCUACCCCGAGUGCCAUCCGCUGAGGAUAGCUUUUCUCUAGUGUAACUAGCUAAAGGAAUAAGGGGAGGGCAAGUCUGGUGUCAGCCGCCGCGGUAAUACCAGCUCCCCGAGUGGUGGGGACUAUUAUUGGGCCUAAAGCGUCCGUAGCCUGCUUGACAAGUCUUCCGUUAAAUCCACCGAUCCAAUCGUUGGGCCGCGGGAGAUACUGUUAGGCUAGGGGGCGGGAGAGGCUGAUGGUAUUCUUAGGGUAGGGGUGAAAUCCUAUAAUCCUAAGAGGACCACCAGUGGCGAAGGCGGUCAGCUAGAACGCGCUCGACGGUGAGGGACGAAAGCUGGGGGAGCGAUCCGGAUUAGAUACCCGGGUAGUCCCAGCUGUAAACGAUGCAGGCUAGGUGUUGGCCUAACCAUGUGUUACGCCAGUGCCGCAGGGAAGCUGUUAAGCCUGCCGCCUGGGGAGUACGGUCGCAAGACUGAAACUUAAAGGAAUUGGCGGGGGAGCACCACAAGGGGUGAAGCUUGCGGUUCAAUUGGAGUCAACGCCGGGAAUCACUAGU
rnacentral:rRNA from 1 species